AACUGCAACGCUGCUGGGUUACUCCCGCUCAACAGUUUCCUGUGUGUAUCAAACACAGCAGGGGUAUAGACUGUGGAACCCAGUUCCUACAUUUAAAUAUAAAAAUGGAUUUUAUCAAACAGAACUAUGCUACAUUUUAUCUCUGUGACCCUCAGGAUGACAAAUCAGAACAAGAUUACUGAAUCUACUUCUCUCAUGAGUGGGUCUUGGAGAUGUACAAGUGCACAGCAAGUCUGAACCAGCACAAUACUAUAUUGAUGCAGAUGAGGAAUAGAAGAAUAUUCACAGUGACUCCUGCAGGCAUCAAGCUCUGGAACAACAAGCCUUUGUAUGCCAACAUCAUGUCUCCUACACACAUGGAGAUGAUCUCAAACCCAACUUCUGGACAAUGGCUUUGUACGACAGAGAUCCUUGAUACAGAUCACUGCAGUAUGUUAUCACCACAUUGGCCCAGCAUCGUCCGAGUUUGGCCGGUGUAGUCCAUCAUUGUAAAGAAGAAUUUGUUCUUAACGGUCUUGCCUAGUUAAAUAAAGGUUCAAUUUGUAACAAUUGAA